GGGGUGGAGCCAGGAGACACACCUGUGGAGAGUUUGGCAAUUAGGCCUUCUAACGCUGCCGCCCAUUUACAUCAGAAGUGGGAAGUCGGAGCUGGGAAUGACGUCACAGGCGAGUUGUGAGUGUUCCAGUUAUAAGGGCAGCCGUAUUUGAAACCAACUCGGUAGUGGUGAGAAUGGUCUGACUUUCCGAGUAAGAAAUCCGACCUCGUUGAUAUUCCGACUUCCCAGUACAAAAGUUCUCCUGGCUCCUGGCCGUGCAAGUUUCUGUUUAUCGUCCUGACUCGUUUGCACAAAGAACACGGGCGUGAUUUGGAAGCAGGCGAUAAUUGGAGAGACAGUGUUAUUCCCAGAAUAAGCAUCGCCGAGAAGCCACGCGACUUGAGGAAGCAGGGGAACACUUACCGCACUUGGAGCGCCCGCUAAAGAAGCCACGACGGGUUCAACGGAGGGCAGGAAGAGGGCAAAGUACUGAAGGUGAUGACACUUGGACAUAAAAGACUCAACUCAUAAAGACUUGCUGCAAAAAUAACAUUAAGUAUGACAUAUUCUACCACAUUAAAGGGGAACUGCAUUUUUUUUUUAGGGGUUUUGGUGACCAUGCAGUCAUUCUAUAGGUGGUUAACAAUGCAUCUAAUGAGGAUUCCAUCUA